UACGUAGGGUGCGAGCGUUAAUCGGAUACUGGGCGUAAAGCGUGCGCAGGCGGUUCGUUGUGUCCGGCGGUGAAAGCCCCGGGCUCAACCUGGGAAUGGCCGUUGAAACUGGCGAACUGGAGUGUGGCAGAGGGGGGUGGAAUUCCGGCGUGUAGCAGUGAAAUGCGUAGAGAUGCGGAGGAACACCGAUGGGCGAAGGCAGGUCUCUGGGCAUUAACUGACGCUGAGGAGCGAAAGCGUGGGGAGCGAAC
rnacentral:rRNA from 1 species